rnacentral:rRNA from 1 species
UACGAAGGGGGCGAGCGUUGUUCGGAUUUACUGGGCGUAAAGGGCGCGCAGGCGGCAGCUCAAGUCAGGCGUGAAAGCCCCGGGCUUAACCUGGGAAUGGCAAUGGAUACUGGCUGGCUAGAGUGUGUCAGAGGAUGGUGGAAUUCCCGGUGUAGCGGUGAAAUGCGUAGAGAUCGGGAGGAACAUCAGUGGCGAAGGCGGCCAUCUGGGACAACACUGACGCUGAAGCACGAAAGCGUGGGGAGCAAACAGG